ACCCAAAUCACCAAAUUCAUCAACUACUUGAUCUUAUCAGAGCCGGGACUGAGAAGUUGAGGAUGGCGGCUCCAUGGCUACUACCUGGAAUUUCCUCUCUUCCUAUCAAAAAUGGCGGAGCCACCCUCCCUUUUCUGCCAAGGCUGCUUUGGAGGCUCUGCCAUCGCUGAACAGAGAGAUCUACAGGGAGUUCUUGAGGAUGCUGUCUAUUUUCUAGCUAAACCAGGUGAUAAUCACUUCCUCGAUCAAAGAAAACAUGGCAGGAUAUAAAGAGACCCAUAAAAAAUCUUCAGAAGACAUGGCUGUGAAUAUGAGAAGAUGGACUAUCUUGUUGCUUGAUCUGGAGCAUGAAGAAAUUGUCCAAAUGGGAUCUUCAAUCAAUCUUUAAUUGUCUUCAAUGAUGAUUUACUGGAGGUCUUAACAGAUCGACGUUGGGUUUGUUCAUGGAUGGAACUAAAUUCAGAACGCCCAUCGAGUUUGUUCAUAGAUGGUACUAAAUUCAGAAUGCCCCUUGAGUUUGGUCAAUAGAUGGAACUGAAUUCAGAAGGGCCCCUUGGGUUUGUUCAUAGAUGGAACUAAAUUCAGAAAGCCAGAUUUGAGGAUGGAAUUCAGGGCUAGCUCAACUUCAGAAAAAAGUCAUUUCAAGUCUUCAUUAACUAAACUUAUAGAAAAUGAUUGAUUUGCAUGUGCCAAACUUUGUAUUUGUGGAUUUUUUAAUGUUCAACUGACUUGCGGCAUUGUGCUUGGAGUUUGAUGCCUAUUGCUGGGUUUUGAAGAUGUUGUAAUCUAACUAUGGUGGAGAUGUUCAUGACAUUUAUGUGUAAAAAAAUAGAAGGGAAUUUUGUACAUGGUUUAGGAACAUAUGACCUCUUUUUGGGGGAAGUGGAAUUUGUGCCCUACAAAAAUGAAUGAAUAGAGUCUAUUGGAAGAAUUGAAUGAGGAAUAAAAAACAAUAGAUAUAAUGCCAUUUUAUUUUAA